rnacentral:misc_RNA from 1 species
GAUGAAGAACGCAGCGAAAUGCGAUAAGUAAUGUGAAUUGCAGAAUUCAGUGAAUCAUCGAAUCUUUGAACGCACCUUGCGCCCUUUGGCUAUUCCGAAGGGCAUGCCUGUUUGAGUAUCAUGAACACCUCAACUCUCAUGGCUUGCCGUGAUGAGCUUGGACUUUGGGGGUCUUGCUGGCCUGUGGUUGGCUCCUCUCAAAUGAAUCAGCUUACCGGUGUUUGGUGGCAUCACAGGUGUGAUAACUAUCUACGCUUGUGGUUUUCCACCAGGUUAACCUUCAGCGAUGGAGGUUCGCUGGAGCUCAUAAAUGUCUCUUCUCGGUGAAGACAGCUCUUUGAACGUUUGAUCUCAAAUCAGGUAGGACUACCCGCUCAACUUAAGCAUAUCAAUAAGCGGAGGA